rnacentral:rRNA from 1 species
AACGAACGUUAGCGGCGCGCCUAACACAUGCAAGUCGAGCGAGAAAGGGCUUCGGCCCCGGUACAGCGGCGCACGGGUGAGUAACACGUAGGUAAUCUACCUCAGAGUGGGGGAUAACCUUCCGAAAGGAGGGCUAAUACCGCAUGAGACCACGUCCACGCGAGUGGAUGGGGUCAAAGCCGGCCUCUUUACAAAAGCUGGCGCUUGGAGAUGAGCCUGCGGCCCAUCAGCUAGUUGGUAGGGUAAUGGCCUACCAAGGCAGAGACGGGUAGCUGGUCUGAGAGGAUGAUCAGCCACACUGGAACUGAGACACGGUCCAGACACCUACGGGUGGCAG